AUUGAACGCUGGCGGCAGGCCUAACACAUGCAAGUCGAGCGGAUGAACGGAACUUGCUCCUGCAUUCAGCUGGCGACGGGCGGGUGAUUCAUACGUAUCUCCCUUUCAGUUUGGGCUAGGGUCCGUACGUGGGGGCUAAUACACUAAACGUUCAUAGGUCGAACGUGUGGGAUCAUCGGACCUCACGCUCUUAGCUGAGCCUAGGUGGGAUUAGCUAGUUGGUUGGGUAAAGGCCUACCAAGGCGACGAUCCGUAGCUGGUCUGAGAGGAUGAUCAGUCACACUGGAACUGAGACACGGUCCAGACUCCUACGGGAGGCAGCAGUGGGGAAUAUUGGACAAUGGGCGAAAGCCUGAUCCAGCCAUGCCGCGUGAGUGAAGAAGGUCUUCGGAUUGUAAAGCUCUUUUAUUUGGGAAGAACAGCAGUAAGUUAAUACCUGGCUGUUUUGACGGUACCAAAAGAAUAAGCACCGGCUAACUUCGUG
rnacentral:rRNA from 1 species